GUAAUACCACACCGAGCCCUUGCUGGAGGACCAGGAGAGUGUGGUUGAGUUGUUUCCACACGACACAUUCAGGCUCAGAGGUGCACAUGGAGCUGAGGACAGAGCAGCACACAAGCUGGGGUUAGAGAAAAAUGAGACAGGUGAGGGCCUGGCUGGCAGGGCUGGUGCAGUUCCCGUCUGAAGCGAUCACGCUGAGUGUGUAUGACUGGCCACAGGGCAGGCGGCUCAGGGUGCAGUUCUCUGUGGUGCUACUGCAGUUUUGGAUGUCGCCAUCCGCACCAGUGGCUGUUAGAUAGUAGGACUGAGCGAGGUUAGAGCGUGCCCAGGACACCAACACGCUCUCUGUAUCACACAGCGGCCUCACGCUCACUGCCUGAGGAGCACACGGGGCUGCCAAGGAAAAGAGCACCAAGACACAUGUUCUUCUGGAAUGUUCCAGCUCUGUCCUUCAGCUCAGGGUUUGACUGUAACAGGCUAAAUGCUGCGUAUGUGAAAGUGUUCCUAUUCUGCGUUCCUGUGGAGGUUAUUUACCUGCUGCUUUCUGCACUAUUGGACUGCGGGAGCUGUUGCAUAGUCCGCCUGAGGCCUGCACGCUGAAGUUAUACAAGGUCCCGCACUGAAGCCCUGCUAUGGUACAGGAAGUGCCUGUGGCGUUGCAUUGACGUCUGUCCCCUUGUGCGUUGACGGCCAAGGCGUAAUACCACACCGAGCCCUUGCUGGAGGACCAGGAGAGUGUGGUUGAGUUGUUUCCACACGACACAUUCAGGCUCAGAGGUGCACAUGGAGCUGAGGACAGAGCAGCACACAAGCUGGGGUUAGAGAAAAAUGAGAGAGGUGAGGGCCUGGCUGGCAGGGCUGGUGCAGUUCCCGUCUGAAGCGAUCACGCUGAGUGUGUAUGACUGGCCACAGGGCAGGCGGCUCAGGGUGCAGUUCUCUGUGGUGCUGCUGCAGUUUUGGAUGUCGCCGUCCGCACCAUUGGCUGUUAGAUAGUAGGACUGAGCGAGGUUAGAGCGUGCCCAGGACACCAACACGCUCUCUGUAUCACACAGCGGCCUCACGCUCACUGCCUGAGGAGCACACGGGGCUGCCGAGGAAAAGAGCACCAAGACACAUGUUCUUCUGGAAUGUUCCAGCUCUGUCCUUCAGCUCAGGGUUUGACUGUAACAGGCUAAAUGCUGCGUAUGUGAAAGUGUUCCUAUUCUGCGUUCCUGUGGAGGUUAUUUACCUGCUGCUUUCUGCACUAUUGGACUGCGGGAGCUGUUGCAUAGUCCGCCUGAGGCCUGCACGCUGAAGUUAUACAAGGUCCCGCACUGAAGCCCUGCUAUGGUACAGGAAGUGCCUGUGGCGUUGCAUUGACGUCUGUCCCCUUGUGCGUUGACGGCCAAUGCGUAAUACCACACCGAGCCCUUGCUGGAGGACCAGGAGAGUGUGGCUGAGUUGUUUCCACAUGAUAUGGACACAUUCAGGUUCAGAGGUGCACAUGAAGCUGAGGGUUAGAGAAAAAUGAGACAGGUGAGGGCCUGGCUGGCAAGGCUGGUGCAGUUCCCGUCUGAAGCGAUCACGCUGAGUGUGUAUGGCUGGCCACAGCGCAGGCGGCUCAGGGUGCAGUUCUCUGUGGUGCUGCUGCAGUUUUGGAUGUCGCCGUCCGCACCAUUGGCUGUUAGAUAGUAGGACUGAGCGAGGUUAGAGCGUGCCCAGGACACCAACACGCUCUCUGUAUCACACAGCGGCCUCACACUCACUGCCUGAGGAGCACACGGGGCUGCCGAGGAAAAGAGCACCAAGCCACAUACCUGUGCUGAUGUAGUACGGAGGACUGCGGAGACUGCUGCACUUAUCCGAGCUGGCGGAGACGAUGAUGGCGUACUGCAUGCCACAGCGAGCGCCGUUAAGCACACAGGAAGUACUGGUGCUGUUACACCCCAGGAAGCUGAGGUCCUGCCCCUCUGCUGUGACAACGAGGAAGGACGAGCUUGACUGGGUGAGCCAGCUGACUCUUAUGGAGCUGCUGCGGCACUCCGUCACUGCACUGAUGCCCAUCAGAGAGCAGGGCCCUGAUGGCAGAUGGCGGAGGGAUAACAGAUGGGAUAACUCAACUGUAACCUGGACAUAUCAUGGAUACCUGUGCACUAGCAAUGAAAUGCUAUGGAAAAGUCAAGAACCUUUUAAGACAUUAGUUAGUCUACCAAAACAAUGUAUAAAAAUCAGAUUUUUGCCUGGUAUAGCUGCUCAUUAUGGAAGAAUGAACUGUGUUGUGUUGUGAUAGUGAUCACACAUGGACUCAUAAACACAUUCUAUUUAAUUAGAUUAUUUAAACCCGGAUCUUACAUACCAAGCUAGUUGUGUGUGUAUGUGUGUGUGUGUGUGUGUGCUUACCUGUCACAAUAUAGAAGGAGCUGUUGUAUUGUUUGCUGGCACACCAGGAGUUCAUGGCAGUAACUUGGAAGGUGUACUGGGUGCCACACAGCAGGUUGGGAACGUUACAGAAAAGAUCCGAAGUGCUGCAGAUGGAGUUAGCCCCGCCCCCUGACACUGCUAACACCUGGCUGAUAUUGCUGCUCACUGCAUCCACAAGGAAGAAUUCUGCAUCCGGAUUGGCUGCCCAGGUUACGGUCAUGGCACUGGCUGUACAGUUCAUCUGGACUUGCACAUUCUGGGGAGCACAGGGACCUGGAGAGAGGGGGAAAUCAGGCAUGUCAAAUUAGGCAAGUGGCAGCAAGUCGUCAGCAAAUUGGCAUCAUGGUGUAACUAAUGCAUCAUCAUAUCAGUCUCACUCUCUCUACUUUAUAAUCCUAAAGCCGUUCUGUAUUUUCCCACUGUAUAUGUGUGAUGGUCAAAUUUUGAAAAGUUUUCUGCUCACAUAUCACGGUUACUAGAUCAGAUCAGAUCCCUCACCCGAGCGCACUUGCGUGGCAACACUCCUGCCACUACUGCAUGCAUCAUCCAGAGCAACCACAGUGACGUUGUAGGAUGUUCCACAGAGGAGCUGUCCAGCAGUGCAGGAAGGCAGGCUGGAGUUACAGGAGACAGUGUGAGACCCGUUGAUGUUCACAGCAAUAGCCCGAUAUCUCAGCGCUCCACUGGAUGACAGCCAGGUCACAGCUGCUGAGUUAGAGCUGCAGAGCAGGGAGGCUUGGACACCAGUGGGUGCACAGGGGACUGAGGAAGAGGAUGGUGAGGAAUAGUAAAAUAGGAAGCAUAUUAGUAAGUUGAUUUUUGGAGUCAUGUUUCUAUUUGACAAAGUUCUUCCAUUGAGCAGAUAUACUGACAUUUGCUGACAUUGAGCAAAAUUUUUAUAAAAUUAAUUCAUUAAUUGUGAAAUGAACUGAUUCCGACCCUGACCGGGGAGAUUAUUUAUAUGAAUUGUUUCGAGUUUUGCAUUCCUUAGCAAAUGGCUGCAAUUUAAAUAAUGCAUCAUCACCAAUCUAAAGGUAAAUCUAAAUGUAUGGAUCAAAGCGUGUGCAUAUAAAUGAAUGCUUUUCAGCCAAUGCUUCUUUUGAUCAUUUUCUUGUGAAAAGUAGCCAAAUGUAAAUGCAGGUACAAUCCUAAUAUUUUCUUCAAAUAGUAGUUCACAUCAUUACAAUAUCCAUGUUGCUAAUACAAUUCACAAUUUAUUCUAUUACAACUUGCAACUUUCAAGCUAUAAAAAAUAAAGGCACAAGAUGAUAACUGAAACAUGCAGGGCUAAGAUAGCAGGGGUGGAGCCAAGUGGAUGGAUUAAACGAAAUGUUAGAGCAUGGAUAACUGUAAAUUGUACCUAUUAAAGGAGACAUAAAGUACAAA